CUCUUUCUGUUUAACUUUGGAAGUCGUGGUCGCCUGGCCGGUUAGCUCAGUUGGUUAGAGCGUGGUGCUAAUAACGCCAAGGUCGCGGGUUCGAUCCCCGUACGGGCCAUUCUGUUUUGGAAAAAGCCAGUAGAAAGAUUCCAAGGUUCCAGAAGUGAUAUUUCCAUUCCAGCUCCUUAUCUCGAAGAACCGAGAAGGCGAACCUUCCUGUUGAUCCCUAUUGAAUUGCUUUAAAUGUACUUUUAUUCUGAUCUUAAUAAACACGAAAUAAGAUGGCCAUUUCCAAAUACAGAGUACAACAGAAAAAGAGGGUAGUACCUGAACUUGUAGGUCUCUGUUUGGUAUAGUUUUCCUCUUAUCUACAACAGCCUGUAUCUUUCUAAACCGUCCUGUUUAUCUGGACUUCUUUCGGACUUCCUGUUCUUUUAUGUGCGUUUCACUUUCAGUUUAGCUCCCGUUUGUUCAUCUAGAAAACGGAAAUAAUAAUUCCUGAAUUGCCUUUUUACAACGUAAAAAGAACCACCACCACAACACAAAAGAACAGGACUAAUUUUGACAAAGUUUUUUUGGAAACCCUACAGGCAAGGAGGGGCUCCAGGAGCAGGGAAUCUUGAGGAGGAGAAGACUCUGGCUGGUAGAGGAGUGGCUUGAAGUCCUGAAAAGCUGAAGAGAGAAGUUGGAAAAAGACUUUCUCCUGAGGGUUACCCAAUUUUCCUACUGGUGACUACUGGAAAUCUUUCCCUCAAUACUUCCCAAUUGAAGGGACUUUCUGAAGAGAAACCUGAGCAGACUUUACCUCAGCUCCUGUUGCCUAGGGAUCAUGUGGAGCUUAGUAUCGAAGCAGGAUUUGGGAAACUAUCGUCGUCUGUAAAAAGCACAAGAAGAACCCCGUAGUCGGCAGGAUUCGAACCUGCGCGGGGAAACCCCAAUGGAUUUCUAGUCCAUCGCCUUAACCACUCGGCCACGACUACCCUCCUGAAAGUCUUUGUUUUUCAAAGGAUCUUGUCUGAUCCUCCUCGAUCUUUGCACUAGUUUUAGCAAGUUGUCUGGUAUGUUGAGAAAUUAAAUGCCUUCGCCAUUGUCACAUAUGAUGAACAUGUCGACAAAUCUGUAAUACUUUAAUAAAUCUGUGUACACAUUUUCUCCUCAUGCAUCAUCUUUGUCCGUGGCCUCGAAAAUCUUCAAGAAAGCCCACACCCAAUCUUCUGGAGGCUUUCCUUUGGGUCUUUUACUUCCUUUUGGUCUUAUUUCAUGGAUGGAUACCAAUAAGACACUCAGAUUGUCCUUUUGUUGUCCUUAAUUCUUGAAAUUCUUUUCUGAUGUAUACAUCUUCCCUAAUGUCCUUUGUGACAUUCAUUGAAAAUAUGCCGCAGUCUGUCCUACCCAUAC